rnacentral:lncRNA from 1 species
AGCCUAGGCUGGCUGCCUGAGAGUAGCGAGUGACAGGUAAGGGCUCUGAACCUUCCUGCGUGCUACCCAAGGAGUGCCUAGGGCUACCAGGAGGCCCAGGGAGGAACCUUGAGACCUGAGAAAGGCUUUUCUUCCCCGAGAGGACCACUGCUCAGGCUCAGAGGCCAUGGGGUGAAGUGCACAAAAAAGUGGGCGUCCAGCCAUGCUCUAAGUCCCCCGAAGAUGAAGACCAGGGAGCAGCUUCCUCCAAUGAAGCAGCAGCAAUCAGAGGACCAGGAGGCUGAAGCCCUGAGCCCAGCCAGAGGCAGGAUCAGCCAAGUCUGGGACAGGCUUCAAUUAUUUUAGGCAGAGCUUCUGGUUCCUGGGCCUUCAGACUUGGACUAGAACUUCACUACCAGCUUUCCUGGGUCUCCAGCUUGCAGAGAGCAGAUCGCAGAACUUCUUAGCCUCCAUAAUCACCUCCCGCCCCCACCCAGGCCUGCUCAGAAGAACCCAAGCCACUCAGAAGCAGGAGGCAGCCUUCACCCCAACCAGACCAAUAUCCGUUCCAGACUCAGGAUUACAACAAUCUGGGAGAGGGUCAACCAAGUCAGAGUCCCACAUGGCAGAAGAGCUGCUUUAGCUUAAGACUCUUAACUCUUUUUCUUCGGGGCAGGAAAGGUUUGAGCCAAUGAAGGAUGAGGCUUUCCAGGCCCAGGACACAACCUUGAUCCAAGGCCUAGUUGUGGCUUUAAUUUUUGUAAAUCAAGCCUCAAGUUUUUCUUCACUCUUUUAGCCAAAGAUAUGUUUCCCAGGAUGCAUGAAAUAAAUAAAUAAAAUGUACCAAA